CAGCCUCAAGAUAUGUCACAACAUCUUUUGACUGCAGAAUAAACAGUUUAGAGAUUGAAUUGACUGUGAAUUUAAAUUUAUUUCCUCUGUUUCUUGACUGAAUGUUAUAAUCAUGAUCAGACCAAUCAUUUUAACUAUUUACUGGUUACCAAUUUGUGUGGUUUGUUCUCCUGUCAUUCAGCAGUCUCCCAAACAUCUUCUACGGAGAGUGGAGGAGAAAGAGGCAAAUCUUUCAUGUCAUCACGGUGACAAUGACUAUCCAUACCUGUUCUGGUAUCAACAGAAAAGCAAUGGUGGUUCUUUAGAGCUUAUUGGAAUGCUCAGUUAUGGAGCAGAUUCUGAAGAGGAUAAAUUUAAAUCUCGAUUUGACAUCCCAGGACAUGCUAAAGAGGAUGCAUUCCUGCUCAUAUCCAACAUAACAGCUGAGGACAGCGCAGUGUAUUUCUGUGCAGCAAGUAAGCACAGCCGUACAAUUCCGUAUAACCACUGA